rnacentral:rRNA from 1 species
AUUGAACGCUGGCGGCAUGCCUUACACAUGCAAGUCGAACGGAUUCAAGAGGCUUGCUUCUUGAGUUAGUGGCGAACGGGUGAGUAAAGCAUCGGAACGUACCCAGUUGUGGGGGAUAACGUAGCGAAAGUUACGCUAAUACCGCAUACGCACUGAGGUGGAAAGCGGGGGACCGAAAGGCCUCGCGCAAUUGGAGCGGCCGAUGUCGGAUUAGCUAGUUGGUGAGGUAAAGGCUCACCAAGGCGACGAUCCGUAGCUGGUCUGAGAGGACGACCAGCCACACUGGAACUGAGACACGGUCCAGACUCCUACGGGAGGCAGCAGUGGGUAAUUUUGGACAAUGGGCGAAAGCCUGAUCCAGCCAUGCCGCGUGAGUGAAGAAGGCCUUCGGGUUGUAAAGCUCUUUCAGACGGAAAGAAAUCUUUCGGGUGAAUAUCCCGGAAGGAUGACGGUACCGUAAGAAGAAGCACCGGCUAACUACGUGCCAGCCGCCGCCGUAA